rnacentral:rRNA from 1 species
UCCGACUGCUAUUCGGGUAAGACUAAGCCAUGCAAGUCGAAUGGAACAGCUUGUUCCAUGGCGAACUGCUCAGUAACAAGUAAUCAACUUACCCUUCAGUGGAGAAUAACCUCGGGAAACUGAGGCUAAUACUUCAUAGUUGGAAAUUCCUGGAAAGGUUUUCCAUCGAAAGAUAUUUCUAAAUGCGGAAAAUUCGCUGAAGGAUAGGAUCGCUUUCGAUUACGGUUGUUGGUGAGGUAAUGGCUCACCAAGCCUAUGAUCGAUAAGGGCCGUGAGAGCGGUAGCCCUGAGAUGGAUACUGAGACAAUGAUCCAGGCCUUACGAGGCGCAGCAGGCGCGAAACCUUUACAAUGCACGAAAGUGUGAUAAGGUUACCCGGAGUGCUAAAAUUAAAUUUUAGCUGUUAUAGGUGUGUAAAUAACCCUAUGAGAAAGGGGAGGGCAAGGCUGGUGCCAGCCGCCGCGGUAAAACCAGCUCUUCAAGUGGUCGGGAAUAUUAUUGGGCUUAAAGUGUCCGUAGCCGGUUUGGUAAGUUCCUGGUUAAAUCUGGCAGCUUAACUGUCAGUCAGCUAGGAAUACUACUUUACUAGAGGGUGGGAAAGGUUUGAGGUACUCCAGGGGUAGCGGUGAAAUGCGAUAAUCCUUGGGGGACCACCAGUGGCGAAGGCGUCAGACUGGAACACGCCUGACGGUGAGGGACGAAAGCCAGGGGAGCGAACGGGAUUAGAUACCCCGGUAGUCCUGGCCGUAAACGAUGCGUGCUAGGUGUUGGUAGGGCUUUGAGCUGUAUCAGUGCCGUAGGGAAACUGUUAAGCGCGCCGCCUGGGAAGUACGCUCGCAAGGAUGAAAC